rfam:Triticum aestivum genome assembly, contig: Triticum_aestivum_CS42_TGACv1_scaffold_224761_3B
CCACUACUCAGUUGGUAGAGCACAAGGCUUUUAACCUUAUGGACGUGGAUUCGAGCCCCAUGGUGGG